GUGGGGAAUUUUGGACAAUGGGCGAAAGCCUGAUCCAGCCAUGCCGCGUGUGUGAAGAAGGUCUUCGGAUUGUAAAGCACUUUAAGUUGGGAGGAAGGGCAGUAAGUUAAUACCUUGCUGUUUUGACGUUACCAACAGAAUAAGCACCGGCUAACUUCGUGCCAGCAGCCGCGGUAAUACGAAGGGUGCAAGCGUUAAUCGGAAUUACUGGGCGUAAAGCGCGCGUAGGUGGUUUUGUAAGUUGGAGGUGAAAUCCCCGGGCUCAACCUGGGAACUGCCUCCAAAACUGCAUGACUAGAGUACGGUAGAGGGUAGUGGAAUUUCCUGUGUAGCGGUGAAAUGCGUAGAUAUAGGAAGGAACACCAGUGGCGAAGGCGACUACCUGGACUGAUACUGACACUGAGGUGCGAAAGCGUGGGGAGCAAACAGGAUUAGAUACCCGUGUAGUCC
rnacentral:rRNA from 1 species